UAGGGAAUCUUCCGCAAUGGGCGAAAGCCUGACGGAGCAACGCCGCGUGAGUGAUGAAGGUCUUCGGAUCGUAAAACUCUGUUAUUAGGGAAGAACAAAUGUGUAAGUAACUAUGCACAUCUUGACGGUACCUAAUCAGAAAGCCACGGCUAACUACGUGCCAGCAGCCGCGGUAAUACGUAGGUGGCAAGCGUUAUCCGGAAUUAUUGGGCGUAAAGCGCGCGUAGGCGGUUUUUUAAGUCUGAUGUGAAAGCCCACGGCUCAACCGUGGAGGGUCAUUGGAAACUGGAAAACUUGAGUGCAGAAGAGGAAAGUGGAAUUCCAUGUGUAGCGGUGAAAUGCGCAGAGAUAUGGAGGAACACCAGUGGCGAAGGCGACUUUCUGGUCUGUAACUGACGCUGAUGUGCGAAAGCGUAGGGAUCAAACAGG
rnacentral:rRNA from 1 species